rnacentral:rRNA from 1 species
CUACGGGAUGCACCAGUGGGGAAUAUUGCACAAUGGAGGAAACUCUGAUGCAGCAACGCCGCGUGGAGGAUGACACUUUUCGGAGCGUAAACUCCUUUUAUAUAGGAAGAAGAUGACGGUACUAUAUGAAUAAGCGCCGGCUAACUCCGUGCCAGCAGCCGCGGUAAUACGGAGGUCGCAAGCGUUACUCGGAAUCACUGGGCGUAAAGAGCGUGUAGGCGGAUUAAAAAGUCAGAAGUGAAAUCCUAUAGCUUAACUAUAGAACUGCUUCUGAAACUCUUAAUCUAGAAUAUGGGAGAGGUAGAUGGAAUUUCUGGUGUAGGGGUAAAAUCCGUAGAGAUCAGAAGGAAUACCGAUUGCGAAGGCGAUCUACUAGAACAUUAUUGACGCUGAGACGUGAAAGCGUGGGGAGCAAACAGGAUUAGAUACCCCUGUAGUC